rnacentral:rRNA from 1 species
GUUUGAUCCUGGCUCAGGAUGAACGCUAGCUACAGGCUUAACACAUGCAAGUCGCGGGGCAGCAUGGGGGUUGCUUGCAAUCCCUGAUGGCGACCGGCGCACGGGUGAGUAACGCGUAUCCAACCUGCCCUUCACCACGGGAUAACCCGGCGAAAGUCGGACUAAUACCGUAUGUUGUCCAUUGACGGCAUCCGAUUUGGACGAAAGGCUUAGCGGUGAGGGAUGGGGAUGCGUCCGAUUAGCUUGACGGCGGGGUAACGGCCCACCGUGGCAACGAUCGGUAGGGGUUCUGAGAGGAAGGUCCCCCACACUGGAACUGAGACACGGUCCAGACUCCUACGGGAGGCAGCAGUGAGGAAUAUUGGUCAAUGGGCGGAAGCCUGAACCAGCCAAGUAGCGUGCAGGAUGACGGCCCUAUGGGUUGUAAACUGCUUUUAUGCGGGGAUAAAGUGAGGGACGUGUCCCUCAUUGCAGGUACCGCAUGAAUAAGGACCGGCUAAUUCCGUGCCAGCAGCCGCGGUAAUACGGAAGGUCCGGGCGUUAUCCGGAUUUAUUGGGUUUAAAGGGAGCGUAGGCCGCCCCUUAAGCGUGUUGUGAAAUGCGGGUGCUCAACAUCCGACUUGCAGCGCGAACUGGGGGGCUUGAGUGCGCCGAAAGUAGGCGGAAUUCGUGGUGUAGCGGUGAAAUGCUUAGAUAUCACGAAGAACUCCGAUUGCGAAGGCAGCUUACUGUAGCGCAACUGACGCUGAUGCUCGAAAGCGUGGGUAUCGAACAGGAUUAGAUACCCUGGUAGUCCACGCGGUAAACGAUGGAUGCUCGUUGUCGGCCUGUGUGGUCGGUGACCAAGCGAAAGCGUUAAGCAUCCCACCUGGGGAGUACGCCGGCAACGGUGAAACUCAAAGGAAUUGACGGGGGCCCGCACAAGCGGAGGAACAUGUGGUUUAAUUCGAUGAUACGCGAGGAACCUUACCCGGGCUUGAAAUGCUAUCGACCGACGGAGAGAUUCGUUAUCCAGCAAUGGCGAUAGUGUAGGUGCUGCAUGGUUGUCGUCAGCUCGUGCCGUGAGGUGUCGGCUUAAGUGCCAUAACGAGCGCAACCCCCGUCUUCAGUUGCCAUCGGGUUAUGCCGGGCACUCUGGAGAUACUGCCACCGCAAGGUGUGAGGAAGGUGGGGAUGACGUCAAAUCAGCACGGCCCUUACGUCCGGGGCUACACACGUGUUACAAUGGC